UGCAAACAGUAAAGCCAUAUAGAAAACGUACGAAUGGUUGCUCCCAAGGAAAACAUGUUUACGCACUGCUCAAUUUACCAACUGAGCUUUAAGAAAGCAGCUUCACAAUCAGCAGAAAAACUGUCUUUUUUCUCCCAGUAAAACUGAUGUCGCUGAUAACACUCUUUGGUAUUAUCAUCUCAUUGCUUAACGCCCAACUGGCGUCGGCUUCGCACGAGGGUGCUUAUUGCGAGGAAGAUCAUGACUGCUACCAGAGAUACUGGAAUCACUUUUCCUAUUCUUCAGAAUACGUGGGACUUGACUGCUGUCUGGAUGAUAAAUGUCACAAAGACUGCACAGGGGUGAUGUUUCUGUACUUUCUGUGGCGUGUUUGUCUGCCUAUUACUUGCUGUGGAGGAUUUUUAUUCGGACUAUUUGUUGUCUUCGUCACCAUUCGCAGAAGAAGAAGUGAUACUCGACCUGCAAUGCAAUCGACAGUUCCUGCCGUCCAAUACACAAUGCAAGCACCCGUGUUGCCCUCAGCACCUGGCUACUACCUCCCCAACCAAGUGCAGUACCCAAACCAGUACCAUGUACCCCCUGUCAUCACUCAUACCCCUCCACAAUACCAGCCUCCUGCUGUUCCGACAAAUGUGUGUUCAAACACAAACAUUGGAUUUGUGUUCUGAAGUGAUGUUGUGAAACUAGAAAAGAAAUGAAAAAAGUAGACAAAAUGGAACGUCUGAACAAUUAUAUAAACAGUU